rnacentral:ncRNA from 1 species
CGUGUCGGCUGAAUCAGAGAUUGGCUGGCACAAACUGAAACUUAAACUCUUAGGAGAGAAAUUAUGUCUCUGAAUGCAGAAACUAAAGCAGCGAUUGUUGCUGAUUACGCGCGUGGCGAA